GCCGGGUGCAGUGGCGCGUGCCUGUAGUUUCAGCUACUCGGGAGGCUGAGCCUGGAGGAUCUCUUGAGUCCAUGAGUUUUGGGCUGUAGUGCUCUAUGCUGAUCCGGUGUCUGCAUUGAGUUCGGCAUCAAUAUGGUGACCUCCUGGGAGCAGGUAACCACCAGGUUGCCUAAGGAGGGGUGAACCGGCCCAGGACAGAAAUGGAGCAGAUCAAAAUUCCCGUGAUGAUCAGUAGUGGGAUCACGCCUGUGAAUAGCCACUGCACUCCAGCCUGGGCAACAUAGUGAGACCCCGUCUCUU
ensembl:misc_RNA Metazoa_SRP Metazoan signal recognition particle RNA